AAGGGUAGAGGUCGCGUGAAUUAAGAGUAUCUCUUCGGAUGUGACAGGCGCAGAGGAAGAAGAGAGAAAGGGAGGAACGCCGAAAGAGGAGAUUUCCUGUAGAUUGAAUCUUGGGCACAGGGUCAACAGCCUUGUGACUGUCAUCUUUAUUAAGAUGGGGAGCUAUCGA
rnacentral:ncRNA from 1 species